AGUUAACUGAACCUUCGGGGGACGUUAACGGCGUCGAGCGGCGGACGGGUUAGUAAUGCCUAGGAAAUUGCCCUGAUGUGGGGGAUAACCAUUGGAAACGAUGGCUAAUACCGCAUAAUCUCUUCGGAGCAAAGAGGGGGACCUUCGGGCCUCUCGCGUCAGGAUAUGCCUAGGUGGGAUUAGCUAGUUGGUGAGGUAAUGGCUCACCAAGGCGACGAUCCCUAGCUGGUCUGAGAGGAUGAUCAGCCACACUGGAACUGAGACACGGUCCAGACUCCUACGGGAGGCAGCAGUGGGGAAUAUUGCACAAUGGGCGCAAGCCUGAUGCAGCCAUGCCGCGUGUAUGAAGAAGGCCUUCGGGUUGUAAAGUACUUUCAGCAGUGAGGAAGGUUCAUGCGUUAAUAGCGUAUGGAUUUGACGUUAGCUGCAGAAGAAGCACCGGCUAACUCCGUGCCAGCAGCCGCGGUAAUACGGAGGGUGCGAGCGUUAAUCGGAAUUACUGGGCGUAAAGCGCAUGCAGGUGGUUUGUUAAGUCAGAUGUGAAAGCCCGGGGCUCAACCUCGGAAUUGCAUUUGAAACUGGCAGA
rnacentral:rRNA from 1 species